UACGCAGGUGGCAAGCGUUAUCCGGAAUUAUUGGGCGUAAAGCGCGCGUAGGCGGUUUCUUAAGUCUGAUGUGAAAGCCCCCGGCUCAACCGGGGAGGGUCAUUGGAAACUGGGGAACUUGAGUGCAGAAGAGGAGAGUGGAAUUCCAUGUGUAGCGGUGAAAUGUGCAGAGAUAUGGAGGAACACCAGUGGCGAAGGCGGCUCUCUGGUCUGUAACUGACGCUGAUGUGCGAAAGCGUGGGGAUCAAACAGG
rnacentral:misc_RNA from 1 species